GAUGAACGCUGGCGGCGUGCUUAACACAUGCCAGUCGAACGAUGAAGCCCAGCUUGCUGGGUGGUUUAGUGGCGAACGGGUGAGUAACACGUGAGUAACCUGCCCUUAACUCUGGGAUAAGCCUGGGAAACUGGGUCUAAUACCGGAUAGGAGCGUCCACCGCAUGGUGGGUGUUGGAAAGAUUUAUCGGUUUUGGAUGGACUCGCGGCCUAUCAGCUAGUUGGUGAGGUAAUGGCUCACCAAGGCGACGACGGGUAGCCGGCCUGAGAGGGUGACCGGCCACACUGGGACUGAGAGACGGCCCAGACUCCUACGGGAGGCAGCAGUGGGGAAUAUUGCACAAUGGGCGAGAGCCUGAUGCAGCGACGCCGCGUGAGGGAUGACGGCCUUCGGGUUGUAAACCUCUUUCAGUAGGGAAGAAGCGAAAGUGACGGUACCUGCAGAAGAAGCACCGGCUAACUACGUG
rnacentral:rRNA from 1 species